GGGCAUAUGGUGUAGCUGGUUAUCACAUCCGCUUAGCAUGCGGGGGGUCUCCGGUUCGAGUCCGGAUUUGUCCA